GCCCUGACAUCAUCUGCCGCAGCCCUUUCCUUUCUUUCUGACCCAUAUGAUUUUGCAGAUAUGAGGGGUGACUGAGCCCCAAGAUUAAUAAUCACUUCAAAAUUCACCGUGGCUAAGGAAAAGGCACACUAUUCAUCAUGUGAGCUGUAGUCAGUUCCCAUUGCUUGAGUUUAAUCAGACUAAUGAACCAGCUGGCUUCCUUUCUGAAGUGAUUUCUGCUGUUUCCAAUACUGAACAAUAGCGCAGCGGGAUUUGAAAGGGAGAAGGAAGAACAUUCAGCUGGGGAGAAGGGACAUCCUCCAAGUUAGCCAGCUGAUGGGUUGGCUGUACUGGGGAAGACUGUAUACUCUGUUUGAGGCCUGGCACCUUUUAAACCUUGAAUCAUCUCCCACGGUGCCUUUGUGUAGCAGCUUGUUUGUGUAUAUUUGGUACUACAUGAUGGAAAAGAAAAAUUUUAAAGGCCUGUGAGAUUGACCACCAGAUCUCUGAUGAUCUUGGGAGAGUGUUUUCCCAUGGUGUGUUGGGGCAGAUGUCAGACUCCAGUGGUACAUGGAAUGGGGGAUGAAGGAAAAGCAAACCAGGAGCUGAAUCUACAAUCCGGGCUGCCUCACUUUCCACUAGCCCAUCUUCUCCUUCUUCGUUUGGAAGGCAGUGAAGCACCAUGACUGUGGAAGAUGCAGACCCAACUGGCUCUCUGGCUCAGCUUCUGGGAGCUGACCCUGGGCUUUCGAGGACAAUGCCAGCAGCUGGGACAGAGGUGAAGUCACUGUCACCAAGCCAUCAUCUGUCAAGGCUCCCCAGCCCCAUCCUGAGCUUACACGGCCCCCUGACCCGCCAGUCCUUAUUGCUGAGGCCAAGGGGAAGGAGAGAGAGAGACCUGGGCUAAAGGCUGGUGGGAGACACAGUCAGAAGAGAGAGAAGUGGAGCAGCAAAACCUGCUGAGGAGACCUGGCAGGGAGGCUGUCAGCCUGUUCAUCUUCAUGCUCGGGGCUGAGGCUGUGGCGGAAGGCACCACCCGGACUGUCAUUUGGACAAAUGCAUCUGUCAAACCCUGCAGGCACCAGUUCUGGCUUUCAGGGGCUCUGAUCCCAUUCCCUGCUGGCCCUUGUCCUCUGCCCCCACAGUGAGAUUGGCCUGUGUAUGUGUGGUGUGUGAUGUUUCCACAUUAAAGGAGCAGAAAGACGGAAGCCCUGGUGUCCAUCUGUAGCAGGAGCUCAGCCCAGGACUGUGUCCUCUCUCUCUCUCUCCCUGUAGCUGCUCUGAAGUCCUCUCCCCCAGACUGCUGGCAAAGCUGCAGAGCUUCUGACUCAGUGACAUUUUAUAAGAUCACUGUGUUCUUUCUUCAGAGCCAUUUGAGAUGGAAGUGGGAACAGGAAGCCCACUAUCUCAGAGGACAGGACCAAGGAUGGUGCUCCCCAACUGACGGAGGGCUGCAGGGAGUCAGAGCCCUGGGGGAGUGGUGGUAGGAGCCAACACCCUUGUGUUCCAGCCUGGCAUCAGGUACUAUCACGUGUUAUCUUUUCUUUUAACCCCCUCAAUUAUACCACGACGUGGGUAAAAUUACCCCCAUUUACAGGGAGAGGAAGUUGAAGCUGAGAGAGAGAAAGGUGAUUUACCUAAGGUCAUUCAGUGACUAGGAGGCCUCAAUAAUCUUUAACACCAGUCUUUUCCAAUUCUCCAUGUUGACUCUUCCUGUAUGCCUUGCAGCCUCCAAGCUUUCCCAUGAACCAGAGUUCCCAGGACACAUCACUGGUUUAUAAGGCAGUAUCGAAUGGCAUGAACUUAGUGGGGCUUACACAUGUACGGUGGUCAUCAUGCCUGUCUAAAUCUAGGCUCUGUCAGAAAUUCUCCUGGAAAGAUGGAUGAACACCAGGCUGAAUUGGCCGCCUCCAUGCCUAUGGGCAUGGAUGAGUGUUACACACAUAAUCAGACAGACACACACCCCUACCAAAGAAUCUCGGAGCUGGAGAAGAAUUGGUUGAUCAUUUAAUCCAAAUCCCUGACUCAUCAAAGUUCUAGUCACUAGACAUUUUCUAGUCUGUGC
ensembl:lncRNA